AUUGCAGGCUGUCUUGUCGCUUUCCCAUUAAAAGGAAAGAGGAAAGUCCGGGCAACAUAGGGCAACGCGCUUCCUAACGGGAAGAGUCCUUCAUUUAGGUGAGGGAUAUGGAAAGUGCCACAGAAAAUUACCGCCUUUUAUUCCGCAAGGGAUUUUAGGUAAGGGUGAAAAUGCGAGGUAAGAGCUCACAACGGAGCCUGGUGACAGGUUUCGGGGGUAAACCCUGCGUGUUGAAAGGCCAAAUAAACCGGAGCAUUGCUGACUUGUCGGCAAUAAGGGCUGCCCGCUCUAUCCGGAGGGUAGGCCGAUUGAUUCUUCUGGUGACGGAAGAACUAGAUAAAUGACAAGGCACGACAGAACCCGGCUUAUAGGCCUGCAAUAACA
rnacentral:RNase_P_RNA from 1 species